UAUUACACUCUUGCGCUUUCAUCGCUAGGGUUUUGAAAGGAGAGAGCGCGCGGGCAUGGCGGACAAGCUCGUCGCGGCCGCGCUCCAGGAGAUUGCGGCCGAGGGAGAACAAGGAUGCCUUCUCGCCAAACUCUGGGCCUUCCUCCAGGCCACGCCCGCGGGGCUGGAAAUUCACGUUGACGAUCACGUCAAGCAGGCGGUGUGGCGGGGAUUGCUCGCGGUGCCGGGGCUGAGCUUCAAAUUCUCGGGCCAGUCCAAUGCAGCAGCAAUGCCGGCCUCGGACCCCUCGAUUCAGUCUUUGCAGAGCGCCGAGAGCUUGGAAUUGGUCGUGGUUGCCUCUCAGGACAUCCGAGAUGCGUGCUUGGGUCUCUACGAUAUCAGGCACGCCGACACACAGCCUUCUCAGAUUCAACACUCCAUUCUCGAGCGUCUUGCUAAGGCACGGACUGAGGGAGUGACACAAAAUCAGCUCGGUAAGGAUUUCAAGGUGGAAGGAAACAAGCUUUUUUAUAUCCUCCGGAGCCUCGAAUCGCGUGGCCUGGUCGUGAGGAGGUCCACGCUUGUGAGGAAUAAGGACACAGCGAAGGGUGGAGGCUCGAUAGUUUUGACAAACUUGGUCCAUCUUACGAGAUACGCCAGGCAUUUAACUUUGAAUUCGCACCAGCGGUUUGAGAUAUCCAAUGGUGCCGAGGACGCUGCGUUUCCAGAGGAUCCCGACGACGCUGAUGACAAUCACUCCAAGGGGAAGCAUUUGAUGAUCAACGACGACUUGCCUGCCAUGAAAGCUAUCUGUGAUAAGCUGCAACAAGCGGAGGGCAAGGUCCUUGUCGUCUCUGAUCUGAAGCUUACACUCGGCUAUCGAAUGUCUUCUGGACACCGUGCUUGGCGGAGGCUGAUGAAAAGGCUGAAAGAGGCAGGUUUUGUCACCAUUAUAGAGGCAAAAGUGGGCCGCAAGGUAAGAUCCUGCAUUCAGCUGCUGAAGGCUUUCAACGAACACGAGUUUAGCGCUUCUACCUCUGUUGAAGCGGAUACCGAGCAACAGUUGAAAGGCCCAAAGAGAGGUCAAGUUACGGAACAGCUUGUGGAACUUUCUGUCGAUCAACAGAUUUAUGACAUGAUUGAUGAAGGGGGGAGAGAGGGCCUGAUGAUGAUGGAGGUUUGGAAGAGGAUUGGACUUAAUAACAAGAGAAACUAUUACCGGAUUCAAAACAUGACCAUAAAGAACGGCAUUCUUUUCGAAGCGGAGAAUCACAAGCGCUCAACAUUGUAUCGACUGAGAACCACUCACCGCACAAGAGAGGUCCCUGCAGAACAGGAUGAAGAUACUCAAGAUCCACUUGAAAAUAUGGAAGAAGCUACGGUGCCUUCGAGUGACAGCCUCAAAAGAGUUCAGAAGCUUCCUCUGAUUCGCAAGAACGCGAAGAAGGUCGAAAGCGAUUCAUUGACAGAGUCCAUGGUCAAGAUUGAUACCGAGACGGAUGCUGGAAACACAGUCAUUACAACCCUGCCAGCUACGGAGGCUCUCAGUCCAGCUAUUAACGAAACUCCCGAAGGGAUGGAUAUUACGCCGGUUCCUACUACGCCAGCCAGCAGCUUUCCGCCUCCAUCUUUGUUUCGAAUCGGGCAGCCAUAUCCUUGCUUGACUGUAACGACUACGAGUUUACAACGAGAGCAACGCAUUCUGGAAAGGCUACAGGAGGAAAAAUAUGUAGUGCGAGCUGAGCUUCACCGAUGGCUAGAAAGCAUAAGUAACCGGAAGACCAUGAUGGACAGAAAGACAUUGACUCGAACUCUUCAGAAGCUCCAACGUGAAGGCCGAUGCAAGUGCAUUCUGCUGAGCAUGCCCGGGUCGACGAACUGCGGUCGCAAGAGAACUGCGGAGGUCGUUCUUCUUCCGUCAGUGAAGGUGGAGCCUGACUUGCUCAGCGUUAUUCACGAACGUAUUCGAAAGUUUGACAUGGAAAGCCGUGGUCACGGGUUACCCCGCGAGAAGGCGUCAGUCAACACGGUACCUGUUCUUACUGGCUUGAGAAGGAUGAAGGUGAAACACAAGAAAGCGCCCUUAUUAUCACAGAUUGAUGCAGCCAAGACAGUGGCCCUUCAAGCUAACGGGUUCGUGCCGGCAAAAAUGGUCAGAGCUCGGAUGCUGCAUUAUUUCCUUUGGAACUACACCAAUGACUUUUUGGACGAAGAUAUGGGCCUCGAGUUUGGUACACCACGCUUGACGGAUGGGAGAGGGUACCGAGUCUUCGGAUUGAUGGCUGCAGUACAGUCUAUGCCACUGGAGUUGUUUCUCCAAAUGGUUGGCUCGAAUAGAGUGAUCGACAACUUGACAGAGCGUUGCAGACAAGGCAUGCGGCUUCGUGACCUUCCCGAAGGUGAACAAGUUAUUUUGCUGGAGAAUUCUGCUGGAGGACGUUUGGCAUGGCUCGUUGAUAUUCUUCGUCGUCUGAAACUUAUACGGAUUGUUAUCGGGCAUGGUCCGGUCGUUUUACAAGACCGUUGGCAUCUUGGCAGCCUCUCUAUAUCAAUGAUUGAGGCUUCUCUUACAUAUGCCAUGGAGGAACAUAUGUACAUCGAACAGCCAGCACCGCAGCCCCUUCCAUCUCUUACGAGGGACACUUAUGACUACAAUCCGCGAGCCCGCCACGAGUUUGACAUCAAUACGAAAGAAGGCCUCGAUAAUUACUGGCAAACUUUGGAGUACUUCUUUUCCGGUGCAGAACCUGGUAUUGCGAGGCACGCGUUCCCUGGUUCAAGUGUUCCUGAGCUUUUUGGCUUGCGGUCUUGGACCUCACUUCGAAUCAUGACAAUCGAUCAACGUAAUGAUCUUGUGAGGAGAAUGAACGAAGGUGGGCCAGAAAAGCGGAAGUCGAUACAGGAAUGUGCAAAAAUUGCUAAAGAUCUGAACCUUACACUUGAACAGGUCCUACGAGUCUCUUAUGAGAAAAAUCGUCGUGUCCGACUCCAAUCGUUACAGAAAACUGAACCUAGUUUUAUGGACACGUUUGCCAGCAGUCAUCCAGCGCCUCCACAGGUCUUAGUUACUGAAGACAAUUCCAGACAUGAAAUGGGACAGAUGUUUACGUCCGGAAUCUCCGAAGCAACACAGAUGGAAAAAGAAGUGGAUGAUGCAGACGAUAUGGGGGACCAUGUUAAUCAUAUAAGUAUCGUAACCAAAUUGAAGCCGUCGAGAUCAAGAAGAUUUCCGUGGUCGGACAAGCUGGACAGAGUACUUUUCUUUGCUUAUGCGAAACAGCGGGCUUUAUUGGGUGCAAAGAUGAACCGCGUGGACUGGAAUUUGAUUCCCGGUCUUCCAGCAGCACCAUUAGUCUGUCGCAGGCGGAUUUCCAUUCUGAAGUCCGAGGCAACCGUGAAGAAGGCCAUUUUGAAUCUAUGCUCGCUACUUUCAGCGCGGUAUGAGAAAUACUGCCAGUUGAUGGAGAGUAUCGAGGAUCAAGGGACCAGUAGUACGUGUGAAGAACAAGUAGUGGAAGACGGAGAGCUUAUUCCGCCUGCACCUAUCAGAGUUCUGCACGAGCAACCGGAGUAUUACUGGGAUAAUCCUGAAGACGCGUCCGUGGUCUCGGCGAUCGACGAAAUCAUCAGAUGCAAGAACUUAGUACGAUCGUGCUACAACAAGCCGUGCCACAACAAGCGUAUCGUUGCAACAUCGCUAUACAAUAGUGCAACUGAGACCGUUGAAGCUUCAACAAGUGGAAGCAUCACAGUCGAUCCACUACACCUGUCUUCUGCUGCUGGGCUUAUGCAAGUAAGCAAACGGCCUCCUAUAAAACCGAACAAGACUGGUGGUGUUAUCGCCCUUCGCUCACGACGGGUCAGAAAGAAAGUGAAGAAAAAGCCGGCAUCGCUUCAGUGUCUGACCACUGAGCAACUUGUGCACGGUUCAGUUGGAGUUGCCAACGCGAUCGAGUUUAUCAAGCUGGUAUUCUUGAACACGUCGGUAAACAGUGACGACGUGCAGUUGCCGAAGGCUUUUAUGGAUGCACUUCAUCAGUUCAAAGAGGCAGACGUGUUUACAGCUUUUAACUUUCUCAAGGAUCACGGGAUGGUGGCGUCCGGUCAGGGUGCUCAAUCCUUCGUUCUGUCCGAUACUUUCUAUCAGAACGCGUUUGCAACGAGGUUUCCUGGCUCAACUGCCGAAGAAUCCUUUGCAAUGUCUAAAUGGCUUCAGGAGCGCAGAACUGACAUUGAUCAAGAAUGGGUUACAUACUCAACCGAAGACACUUGUGGCAAGCUUCUACAAUUAUUUGGGAGAGUUGCCACAGGAGAACUUACAUUGAAACCGAGCGUACCGGCUAAUGGGAUUGGCGAGAGCGAAGACCCGAGAUCAAUCGGUUGCGGUUUCAAGCGCAAGCCAGACAACCAGGAACAAGGUGCAAGAACUGUAAAGGCGAGACUCGAAGACAAGGACGAAGUCUACCAAGCAGUUCGUCGUGAGCGAGGAUUUCCUGGCAUCGAUGUUCUUUUACACCGAGAGACCUUUACUCUUCCGGAUUUGCUCUCUAGAUGCCAAGGCGAGCUGGAACCGGGUCCAUCAGAAACACCUUCUUUCGAAGUUCCAGGCGCAAAAAAUCUGGAGAAGGUUUCUGGCACGGAAGGUGACGAAAAUCUCGAGCCUGGUUUACUUGCGGCAAUGCAAACCGAAAUCGAAAAUGCUGGUGAGGAAGGUGUAAACAUCAAGGACCUUGGCCAACGCCUUGGUACGGAACUCGUGGAGAAAUAUGUCGACUCUCUGGAGUCCUCUGGCGUUGUGAAGAAGGUGAACGCGUUCGACCACGUUCGUGUUCUUUCUCAGGCCUUUGCUGGCCGGUACUUUCUUCAGUUUUCUACAAAGAAGACGGACAGGGGCUCGCUUCUGCUUUCCAGUCCAGGGAAAAGCAUCGAAAAGAGCGACGUUUUCAUGGGAGAUGGUGCUUCCACUUCGACAUUCAUGGACAUUGAUCCCAUUGAAGGAGGAAGCAGCGAACACAAGGCAUGCAACACGGCUGACGUAGCCGAUGUGACCAGCACACUUCCAAUCCUUCCUUGGAUAACGUCUAACGGAAGUCUAAACAUGAAAAUAUUGAAGGGACUGAUCCGUCGCGUUAUGGGCAUUGUAACACUGAACCCCGGAAUCACUGAGGACAAUCUGGUCAAGCGGAUGAACGUCCUCAAUCCACAGACUGUAAAGGAGCUCCUGCGCAUGCUCUUGCUGGAUGGUAAACUAAUCGUCCGCAGUGUCACGUACCCUCCCGUGUUCGUGCCAUCUCUUUUGAGUGGUCUGCUCCACACGUCGAGCCAACCUGAAGCAAGUGCAUAUCCACAACAGAAGCAUUACUACGCAAAUGCUCUGUGCACAUCUGCCUUGUAAACCUGAUCAGAAACUUCCAGCAAGAAAAACAGUGUUAUUUUAUUACCAGGAAAACAUCGGAAUGACAUACGACGGAUCCGAUCCGUGAUUGUGCAAAACAGACUUCAGCGCGUCUGGAGAUGCUGCUACAAACACAGACUGUAUUCCAGCGGCCUGUGCUCCUUUUAUAUCGUGCGCCAACGAGUCCCCAACGGCAAUGCAGCACGAAGGCGCGACGUUGGCAAUCGUUUGAGCAGCACGGUAGAUAACCGGGUCGGGCUUUCCCAUCCAUCUGACGUCGCCGCCGAGCUUCUCGUACUCGAGGCCCAGCAUUCCUGGACAACGAGCACGGGUUACUACAAGCUGAGAGAAGAGCCAGCAGCAGGAACUUUCACCAGGCAUCGCUCGGAGCUCCCUGGCUUCCACUGUGACAACGUCCGGAUUGGCAACUAUCAUGGGGAGAUUAUACUUCACUCCAACCUCCAGGAACUCGCGAAGCUGCUCUAAGGUUGCUGGCUUUGGACUCCCGUUCGACGUUCCCAGUGCCUCGGUCCCAUGCACGAGAAUGAAGUCGGCAAGCUCGGGCUUCUCUACGACUUCCAGAUCCAACUCCUGCAACCAGCGAUAGCUUACGACUAUCAAACUUGGGAAGACCAGACCUCGAGUGAUAUAGCACCCCGAGCGCUCCAUGUCAUGUGUAAGCAUCGCUUUCCGAGCCGAGCAAACCAAGGGUCUCGUCUCCUGCAACAAGAGAGAGCGGCAAAACAGUGACAGAUGAUCCAGCAACAGGGGCAGGAAAGAAGCUCACCUGAGGAGGUGGUCGUGAGUUAAUUCUCCGCUGGUGAUGAUUCCAGCAAACAGGCCCGGAUCAAAGCCCAACUCGCUCAUCUUGUUCUUGGUCACCUCGGAUCGCCGGGACGAGUUGCUGAGCAGGAGGAGCUUUGCGCCGGUGGAAGCCAGGCACUCCACUGCGAAAGAGAAAGCAAAGUUUGCACUCUCAGCCAUGGAGGAACAAGAAGAACAAAGAAUGGUAUAGUAUCCAGGACGAAGAGCUUUGGAGCUUCGAGAAUGGAUUGAGCAAACCAGGACGAAAAGAUUCAAGCUCGGGGAAUUUAGCGAGCGAAUGGAAAGAGAUCGAGAAGAACUUGGAGAGGUGUUUUACGAGUAGCAAUGGCGCCUGGGUAUGGCUUUCUUCCAUCGUGGAGCACUCCAAAUUGAUCCAGCAGCCAUGCCUGUAAGCUCUAAA